CAAAAAGCAGCACAAAUGGGUGCAACAUCAUCAAACUCAUCAUUUCUCCGUGGCUUGGGAUUGCCAGUUUCAUCUUCCUCUGGUCGAGAUAUCAACGGCAAUCAAUGGGAUGUAAAGCCAGAUAACAAUGCUGUUGCAGCUGGGCUUGGCCUAGGACUCCCGUCUGGAGAUGUUAUGAUAGGUUCAUCUCAUUUGUUUGGGAACAAGCCGACCACGCUUGAUCUUCUUGGGUUGGGCAUAGGUACUGGCUCCGCUUUGCUAAAUCCCUACGUUGGCAGCUUCAAUGUUGGAGCAGCAGCUGCUGCUGCUGCCGCCGCCGCCCCAUAUGGAGGAGGGAGUUCUGAAGAGACAUGGGAAGUUGCACCCGAGAAAAAGCCAAAUGGGUCAGCCUCGCAUUAGCGAGCUUCACUUUGCCCAGGUAUUUUUAUGACGGGUGAAAAAGUUAAUCUCUGCUCACAUCGAUCUCUUGCAUUUAGUUCGUUUUAUACGCUUUUGUUUCUCAAUAUAGGGAAGGCCAGAGAAGGUCUAUAGAGUAGUUUUACAACGUAAGAGGACUUUCUCAUUUUCUUUGUAGUUUUACUUUGUAGUUUUACUCAAAUA
rnacentral:misc_RNA from 1 species